CAGUCGAACGAGAGAAGAGAAGCUUGCUUUUCUGAUCUAGUGGCGGACGGGUGAGUAACACGUGAGCAAUCUGCCUUUCAGAGGGGGAUACCGAUUGGAAACGAUCGUUAAUACCGCAUAACAUAAUUGAACCGCAUGAUUUGAUUAUCAAAGAUUUAUCGCUGAAAGAUGAGCUCGCGUCUGAUUAGCUAGUUGGUAAGGUAACGGCUUACCAAGGCGACGAUCAGUAGCCGGACUGAGAGGUUGAUCGGCCACAUUGGGACUGAGACACGGCCCAGACUCCUACGGGAGGCAGCAGUGGGGAAUAUUGCACAAUGGAGGAAACUCUGAUGCAGCGAUGCCGCGUGAGGGAAGAAGGUUUUAGGAUUGUAAACCUCUGUCUUCAGGGACGAAAAAUGACGGUACCUGAGGAGGAAGCUCCGGCUAACUACGUGCCAGCAGCCGCGGUAAUACGUAGGGAGCGAGCGUUGUCCGGAAUUACUGGGUGUAAAGGGAGCGUAGGCGGGAUCGCAAGUCAGAUGUGAAAACUAUGGGCUUAACCCAUAAACUGCAUUUGAAACUGUGGUUCUUGAGUGAAGUAGAGGUAAGCGGAAUUCCUAGUGUAGCGGUGAAAUGCGUAGAUAUUAGGAGGAACAUCAGUGGCGAAGGCGGCUUACUGGGCUUUAACUGACGCUGAGGCUCGAAAGCGUGGGGAGCAAACAGGAUUAGAUACCCUGGUAGUCCACGCCGUAAACGAUGAUUACUAGGUGUGGGGGGACUGACCCCUUCCGUGCCGCAGCAAACGCAAUAAGUAAUCCACCU
rnacentral:rRNA from 1 species